rnacentral:lncRNA from 1 species
UGCAUUGUUGUCACAAGCUAAGAUUUUGCCAAAGAACCUGAAGCACAAUAAGCAAACCUUAAUUGUUAACGGUAUAAACUUACCAUCUUCCUUAGUAUUUUGUUCACAUUACUCAAAUUAAAUACUACUAUGAAGAAGACUCUCGGUAAAUGUCUCAUUAAAUAAAUAGUGCAAAUGCAUUUCACAGAAAUCACACUCACAGAUCCAUUUGUGUAAAUACCUUUGGUAACUUGCUUGUGGAAUUAUUCAAAUUGAAAAUGUCAUAACAAGCAAAAAGCAAAGAACAUAAUUUAUACCUGAUUCUCUUCUGUAGAAACCUCACCAAUCAUUAUUCAUAAUAAAAGGAACUUUAAUUGCUAAAAAAAUAGAAAAUAUCAAGUACACUGAAAAGUAACUUUGAGUUGUAGAAGGAAAGGAGAAACUACUUCUUCCCUUAAUAUAUUAUAACUUAGGUAUUUUAAGAAGUCAGCAAACCCUUGGAUAUCUUUCAGGGAAUCUUCCUACUAACUGGAAAUUAGGAGUUGAUUUCCUCCUUUAUAGUGUCUUACAUUUUGAUCGUGUUAAAAUUAAUAUCCUCAUUUUGUCAUAUUUAAUUAGUAAAUGCUUUCGUAUCAUCAGUAUGUCACUUUACCUACAAUCUUUGUUUCGGCAAUACACCAUCUACAAUGAAUUUCAUUGUUAGUUAUUGUCAUUUAUUAUGAGAUCAAAUAUAGUCACCUUGUCCUUUCUGUCAAUAAUAUUAGUACUUGAAGAGACUUAUCAGAUCGAACAACUUACAAUUGUUGGAACUUAGGGAACAUAUUUAAGACAUAUGAAAUAGCCUAGAAGACUCAAAAAACAACACUACUUAAAGAGUUAAUGUUCACUGAUUUUAUGUUCUAACAAAUUCUUUAACAUCUAAUGAGUUUUCAUUAAAUAUUAGAGGCAACUAAUAUAUUAUAAAGAUAUGCGGCAAAACAUCAUCAAAACUAAAUCAUUCUUUAGCCACUACAUAACACCUUCAUAUUUAUAGAGCAUAAAAUAAAACCAUAUAGAUGAUUCCUUGUGCAUGCUAGAAACAACUUACCAUUAAACUCUUUAUAAAGCUUGUCCUGUUAGUACCCUUUUGCCAAGAUCAUUUCUCCAUAUUCUUCUUCAUUUCUUCUUCUUUUUUUCUCGGACGCUGAAUCUAUUUAGUGAUAGCAAGCACAAUAUUAACUUUUUAUUGUAAAAAUAACUAAAUUUAACUUAAGGGAAUCAAUAUGGAAGAGCUUAAAAGUAAUAUAAAAUUGAAAUUUUUCUGCUCAAUUUUCAACAAUGCAAAAGAAAUUUUAACUUUUUAACAAGUGGACUUCUUCAAACACCUGAUGGUGUUAGAUAUGUAAGCAUAAGAUAAAUGUAAAGAAUCAUAACCAUAAUACAAAACCCAAAAAGUAUACAGUUACACGAUGCUAUUAUAGUGUGACUCCUAUUAUGUGUAAUCAUGUUAUGACAACAUCAUCUUACAAGGAAAAAUUUCUAUAUUUUCCUUGGUCACAUGAUAAGACAAAUGUAUUAGUGAGAUAAUUAAAGACACUAAGCUUACGAAAUAUCUUGUUUUCACCUAUAGGCUCUUCCAUAUAUAAUGUUGCUACAUCUUCCCCGGCCUACUCCACAUCCUCGAAAGGUACUCGAAUCUGGAGAAUAAACUCAAUUACUUGAGAACUUGCCUAUAGCCUAUCCAACUUUGAUAAUGAUUUCGUUUGCUGCACUCCUAUUACAUUGUCAAAGUGGUGCAUCAACAAUGGUUUUCUUUGGGGUAAGCAAGUGGCAAGAGCUACUAAUUUGAGAGACAUUUAAGCAAUUGGAAGAUAGCAUCUUAAGUUAAUGUGCAGGUUUGUUGAAACUAAUUGCAGAGCCAAACAACUGUAGUCGUAACAGUGAAGUGUGUCUUGUUGUCUAUAUAUAGAGAUUCCUAUUACUAAAAACAUGAAUAUUGAUAUUUGGCUAGUGUUCUUGCGUAGAGUUUUACGUAUUUGUAAUGAAUUUGUAUCUCAUAUAUUUUAGUAUAUUCCUAAAAUAUAUAUUGAAGAGCAAGCAUAUUUCUGUAGGAAUAUAUGUUCCAGAAUUCAGUAGUUCCAUAACGCCAAUUUACAACUCAACUUAGUAAUAUAUUUGAAUUCUACUAACAGAAAAUUAUAAAAUCAACUACAGUCAAAAUAAUGAACUUCAUCCAAAGAAAGCUACAAUAUCAUAUCAGUAUAAACCACCAGAUCUAACUAAUGCAUAUGAAAAAACAUGAGACCAAAAUAAAAGUAGCAACAAAAAUAUGGUGAGAAAGUAAACAAAUGUGAGAAAUCGGGAUAAUCACGCAGACAAAAUGAAGAAUUCUCCCACUAAACCAUUAAGAUGGUGGCAGUAAUUAACACAUAAUAUUAUGUUAGCUUAGAGUGCAUAAUGGCGAAGCUCUAAAAAUGUUAAACCACCGGACAUGGCGAACAGAAUCAAUAGAUAUUUUAAAGUUUUUUUUUUGGGUUCAACAAUCAAUAGAAAUAAAUGGUCAGAUUGAGAAAAAGAGACCGCCUCAAAACAAAAAUGUGUCACGGGAAAAGAGAGGAUCCCUAUUGAGGUUCACCUGAUCUACAGAAUUCCAGAGCAUGAAGGUUUAAAGGCAGUAAAUUCAGAAUAGAAUUGCUACUCCACCACUAAAGCUCAACCAAAACCGUCUGAUGCAAACAAUACAUGCUAGACAUCUAUGACCCUCGUCAAUUUUCAUGUGAUUCAUUACAUUAUCUAAUAAUGCAGAGACACCAAAAUCAAGAAAAAUGAGAGACAUAUUAAAGGUAAGUUUCAUACCUUAGAACAUGGAGACCGUCUUCUUUGUCCGAUUGAGUCUUGUCAUUCAUACGUACCAGGAAGCUAGCCUGUAAACUUUAAAGUAGAACUUCCUAUUACCACAGAACACCAACAAUCCAUUCAUAUGAUCUCACGACUUUGUUUAUCAUAACAUCAAUGACAAAAAAUAAUUUACCAACUUGCCAACUGAUUCGUGCUAGUCCGUGCCAAUUUUCAGAAAAAGAGAU